UACGUAGGUGGCAAGCGUUGUCCGGAUUUACUGGGCGUAAAGGGCGCGUAGGCGGCCAUCUAAGUCAGACGUGAAAUCCCCCGGCUUAACCUGGGAACUGCGUCUGAUACUGGACGGCUUGAGUAUGGGAGAGGGAUGUAGAAUUCCAGGUGUAGCGGUGAAAUUCGUAGAUAUUAGGAAGAACACCGGUGGCGAAGGCGGCCCACUGGAUCGGUACUGACGCUGAGGUGCGAAAGCGUGGGGAGCAAACAGG
rnacentral:rRNA from 1 species